AUCGAUUUCUUCGGAUUGAAAUUUUAGUGACUGAGUGGCGGACGGGUGAGUAACGCGUGGGUAACCUGCCUCACACAGGGGGAUAACAGUUGGAAACGACUGCUAAUACCGCAUAAGCCCACGGGUCGGCAUCGACCAGAGGGAAAAGGAGCAAUCCGCUUUGAGAUGGCCUCGCGUCCGAUUAGCUAGUUGGUGAGGUAACGGCCCACCAAGGCAACGAUCGGUAGCCGGACUGAGAGGUUGAACGGCCACAUUGGGACUGAGACACGGCCCAGACUCC
rnacentral:rRNA from 1 species